rnacentral:lncRNA from 1 species
GCGGACUUGAGGGACAGCAGCGACAGGCCAUCGGGGUUCAAGGAAACGAUGCACAGACAAAGAUUUAGUACGAGGAAUGCCGACAAACGCAAAUUCCUGAGCAACAUUCUUCAAUCAGAGAGAGAAAUCAGUCACUUUUUUCUUCGCUAACGAACAAAAAGCAGCUCUUUCAAGACCAGAAAAGAAACGCAAAAGCACCAUUUUCUUUGGGGUUCAAGAAUCGAUUUUUAUGGGAGCCCUUUUCUCGUCUGGCGCUCAAUUUUGAGAAUUGUAACUUUCAAGAAGCGAAAAAGCGCAGCUUUAGCUGGCCUCGCUUGCAACGAAUAUUUAACUGUGUGGGAAAAAAGAGAGGAUGAAAUCGAAAUGGAGUUGGCGACGAGGGAGUUGAGGAAUUUAUGAGAAAAAGACUUGAGUAGGAGACGGGUGCCUGUUGCUCGGACCCACUCCGCGCCCAAACACAGAGGGCUUCUUUUUCUCUCUCAUCAUCAAAGGAGAGAGAGACAAAAGAAGGAGAAGAAGUAGAAGAAAAGCAACAAGCCUUU